rnacentral:rRNA from 1 species
UACGGGGGGAGCAAGCGUUGUUCGGAUUUACUGGGCGUAAAGGGCGCGUAGGCGGUCAGCACAAGUCAGUUGUGAAAUCUCCGGGCUUAACUCGGAAAGGUCAACUGAUACUGUGCGACUAGAGUGCGGAAGGGGCAACUGGAAUUCUCGGUGUAGCGGUGAAAUGCGUAGAUAUCGAGAGGAAACCCUGCGGCGAAGGCGGGUUGCUGGGCCGACACUGACGCUGAUGCGCGAAAGCCAGGGGAGCGAACGGG